CGUUUGAGUGAAUGUGAUCAGUGUUCAGUGUUCAGUGACAGACGGGUCUGCAAGCUGUAGAUUAAAUACAUGUAUGGCACGGCACGGCACGGAUCUCUUUCGAACAGCUCCUUCCCUUCUCUUGUGUUCGGUUAUUGGUUUUGGUUUGGGAAAUUCUAAAUAUCAAGUCCAACUCCGAUCCGAGCUGGUGUCUGGCUGGCUGCUGUCUGUAAACUUCAUAGGGUGGUGGUGGGAGAUUGUUCCUCCGAUACUUAUUACUUCCAGUUGAUAAAUCGUGUCUAGAAAGAUAAGGUAGGUUGUUGAACCAGAACAAGACCACACUGCGUUUGUGUAUUAUUCUUGUUAUUUGUCACCAGUCUCUGUAUCUCUCAAUAUUCGAUUCACAGUAACAGCAGGCCACGGCGUGCUGCAUGCAAGUUGUAACUAUAAAAGCAAUUUUGUGGAACGAUACAAAAUAUUGGGGCUCAUUGUUUGCCCUUUAUAAUAGGGUCGAUAUCCAUUUAGGCCACGUUUGGUAACUAGUAUUGGAUUGGAUACUUCUUAUAUUUGAACCAUGUUCAAGGAAGAAAAGAAAUGUUUUUUGGUCAAGUUCAAGGUAGAGAAUGG
rnacentral:lncRNA from 1 species